GACGGAGGGGGCAAGCGUUGUCCGGAAUUACUGGGCGUAAAGGGCGCGUAGGCGGUUUGGUACGGCGGUGGUGAAAGCUCCCGGCUCAACUGGGAGAGGCCCGCCGCAACGGCUGAACUCGAGGGUGGUAGAGGCGGAUGGAAUUCCUGGUGUAGCGGUGAAAUGCGUAGAGAUCAGGAGGAACACCCGUGGCGAAGGCGGUCCGCUGGGCCAUGCCUGACGCUGAGGCGCGAAAGCUAGGGGAGCGAAC
rnacentral:rRNA from 1 species